AACUUCCCUCACAGAUGGGGAAUAACCCGUCGAAAGACGGACUAAUACCGCGUCCACUCCAUCUUGGGCAUCCAAGGUAGAGGAAAUGAAAUUCGCUGUGAGAUAGGCAUGCGUCCCAUUAGCUAGUUGGUGAGGUAACGGCUCACCAAGGCGACGAUGGGUAGGGGAACUGAGAGGUUGAACCCCCACACUGGUACUGAGACACGGACCAGACUCCUACGGGAGGCAGCAGUGAGGAAUAUUGGUCAAUGGGCGAGAGCCUGAACCAGCCAAGUCGCGUGAAGGAUGACUGUCUUAUGGAUUGUAAACUUCUCUUGUAGGGGAAUAAAGAGGGGCACGUGUGCCUCAGAGAAUUACCCCUUC
rnacentral:rRNA from 1 species